UACGUAGGGGGCAAGCGUUGUUCGGAAUUACUGGGCGUAAAGCGCGUGUAGGCGGUCUGAUAAGUCGGUCGUGAAAGCCCUUGGCUUAACCAAGGAACUGCGAUCGAAACUGCCGGACUAGAGUAUCGGAGGGGGUGGCGGAAUUCCCGGUGUAGAGGUGAAAUUCGUAGAUAUCGGGAGGAACACCUGUGGCGAAGGCGGCCACCUGGAAGAUUACUGACGCUGAGACGCGAAAGCGUGGGGAGCAAACAGG
rnacentral:rRNA from 1 species